UACGUAGGGGGCGAGCGUUGUCCGGAGUUACUGGGCGUAAAGCGCACGCAGGCGGUCUGCUAAGUUUGGAGUGACAGUUGGUGGCUCAACCACCAAAGUGCUUCGAAAACUGACAGACUUGAGGGCUUCAGAGGGACACGGAAUUCCGGGUGGAGUGGUGAAAUGCGUAGAGAUCGGAAAGAACACCAACGGCGAAAGCACUCUGCUGGGCCGACACUGACACUGAGAGACGAAAGCUAGGGGAGCAAAUGGG
rnacentral:rRNA from 1 species